AACGCAAAUCGCGCUCGAGGCCUCGGCCGAGAGCAUGCCUGCCUCAGCGUCGUUCCAACCCCUCUCCCCUUUCGACGAACGGGGAGGAACUGGUGGUUUCGAUCGUCGCGACCGAAUCGACCGAAAUUCAGAAGGGCCCCUCGUUCACGAAGGGCGACCGAAAGGUGGAUGCUUGCGGGCGGACCCGAUCGGCGUUCGAGCGAGGGUUGUCCCUGCAGUCGGAGAAAACUUGAGUUUGACCUGAGUUCAGGCAAGGGCACCCGCUGAACUUAA
rnacentral:misc_RNA from 1 species